CUCUUUCCCAUUACAGCACCGCCUCUUUUUAGUUUUCUCCCACCGGAAUGGAUCAACUGUUUCAUAGCUUCCUCCUCUUCACUGUCUCCAUCCAUCCAUAGCAAAAAAAUGAAUCUAGAGGUAUUCCGCUCAAUCUAAUGGUGUACAAUCUCCCUUCGGCUAACACACUCUCCCAUCCCUAUCUUUAAUUUUGUUGUGCUUCUUCAACUUAAUUGUUCUCGCCAAAUUUGCAUUUAAUCAUUUCUGGGUAAUGACUAAUGACGAGGACUACUGAACAAGCUGCUGCAGUAAUUGCGAAGUUGUUGAAGAAGGUGACGGUUCAUGGUCACCACGGUUUGGGCGGCCAUUGCUGAUCAUUUCGAUGAUUCGAAAGUUUUUGGUUACCUCAUGAUAUCAAUGAUCGUUCCUUUGAGAUUUAUGCCCCGUAUCUGGAGCAUUUGGAAAUUUCAGGAGAUCUUGGGGAUCUUCAGUGUAGGCUUGUUGACGUGUCCUCCUUGGUUAAUGCUAAGGUUACUUUCUACAUUUCAUGUAUCAAACACAUCCGACAUGAACGUAAGGAGUUUAUUAGUGUUGAUGACUACAGCUGUCAUGACUAUCAUCAAAGUUUUAGCGUUCUCGCCCGAGAUUAUCUUCAAAAGUUGAGUUGUGCAACUGAGCUAACGAUCGGAUCUUGGUUCACAGAGGUCCCAUGCAUGUUGCAGUUCAAUGGAUUGCUGGUUCCAGAGUUGAAAUGCAAAUAUCUAUCACUAGAACUGUGUAUAGAAAACUUUGAUUUGAAUGGAGUAGCUGGACUUUUGGGAGCUUUGCCUCAUGUGGAGACUUUAAACAUAUACAUGACAGAAAAUCUCCUUGAUAAUUACUUUUGCGACUUUGAGGAAAACAAUACCGAUCUGCAGAGUUGGAUUUCAAGCAUUGUGUUUCCCAACCUCAAGAAUAUUACGAUUGUCAACUCCAUCCUGGUGUGUUUAAACAGGCAAAAAAGAAAACGGGGCUUUCGCAGACUUGUUAAACUUUCACAACUUCUGUUAAAGAAUGCAACGAUUUUGAAGAAGUUUCUUGUCAUAUCAAAGAGCAGAAUGUGCAAGAAAUGUAAGAAAUGUUUAACAAACUGUUGGUGCAAUUUUUUCUCUGGAUUGUUUGACAAGUUGUAUCCCUCAAGAUCCUCCACCAAUGCCAAAUUUAUCUUGCAGGUUCAAGUUUUCCGGGACUAGACUACAAAUUGAUUAGCUUCAGCAAUCAUGAUUAAUUACUCUUCUUUUGAAUUUGCCUUUAUACCAAAUGUUAUGAUAGUUUUGUUUCUCGUGAAAUUGUUGUUCGUUGCAUUUUAGAUAUUGUGCAUGUUGAGAUUUACUUGCAACUCUUGUUUGUUGGACCUAUAAACAUGUGUAAAUCUGCAAACCAUCUUUUUAAUGAUAAUUAGCAUAUUAUGAAA